GGUAGCUUCCUUGUCUUGUGGCCUCAGUCUUUCGCCGUGUCUCGCCGUCCCUCGCCAUCGCACGCCAUCGCACGCCACCGCACCCCUUCUCUCGAAAUCUGUAGACAUCUUGAUUUUUCCCACGCUGUCUGUCAGGUCUCCGCCGCCACUCGACGCCAGGGCGCCGGGUGAGUCCACAGCAGGGCGCGUGGUCUGCUCCACUCUCACCAUCGGGGGAAACUGAGGCCCCGGGGAAGGCGGCCAGAGAGAUCAGGCCCGGUCCCUGGUGCAGUGCCUCGUCCUCUUUGCCGGAGUGAGCUCCCCAGGAUUCGCGUGUCCUCGGGAAAACACUGGCGGGAGUGUCACAUGACUGUCACCCCAUGUGUGUGAGAGGUGUCCUCUGGGAGAGCAUGGACCCUGAGGUCCCAGGAUUGUCAGCUGACCUCUGUCCUGUGUGCCCAGUGGCCCCAGGUGACGUGUCUUCAAGAAGAGGCUGAGCUGUGGUGCUUGUAAGGGUCUCUGUCACCCAGGCUGGAGUGCAGUGGUGCGGUGAUGGCUCACUGCAGCCUCAGUCUGGGCUCAAGUGAUCCUCCACCUCAGCUUCCCUGGUAGCUGGGACCACAGAGUCAUGUGCAUGACUCCUGGGGCUUGGAUGAUGUAGGGGAAGCAAGGUGAA
rnacentral:lncRNA from 1 species